rnacentral:rRNA from 1 species
GACGAACGCUGGCGGCGUGCUUAACACAUGCAAGUCGAGCGGAAAGGCCCUUCGGGGUACUCGAGCGGCGAACGGGUGAGUAACACGUGAGUAACCUGCCCUAGACUUUGGGAUAACCCUCGGAAACGGGGGCUAAUACCGGAUACUCCUUCUAAAUCGCAGGAUUUGGUUGGGAAAGUUUUUCGGUCUGGGAUGGACUCGCGGCCUAUCAGCUUGUUGGUGGGGUAAUGGCCUACCAAGGCGAGGACGGGUAGCCGGCCUGAGAGGGCGACCGGCCACACUGGGACUGAGACACGGCCCAGACUCCUACGGGAGGCAGCAGUGGGGAAUAUUGCACAAUGGGCGGAAGCCUGAUGCAGCGACGCCGCGUGAGGGAUGACGGCCUUCGGGUUGUAAACCUCUUUCAGCAGGGACGAAGCGUAAGUGACGGUACCUGCAGAAGAAGCGCCGGCCAACUACGUG